GGGCGGCUGGCCUAAUGGUAAGGCGUCUGAUUUCGGUAAGACUGUUCGGUUAUAUGAACAUCUUCUAUAUCUCAGAAGACUUGCAGGUUCGAUCCCUGCGUCGCUCA
rfam:Penicillium italicum strain PHI-1 contig2062, whole genome shotgun sequence.